rfam:Tetraodon nigroviridis, WGS project CAAE01000000 data, contig: CNS0BTSN, chromosome: undetermined
GGGGAAUUAGCUCAAAUGGGAGAGCGCUCGCUUAGCAUGCUAGAGGUGGUGGGAUUGACGCCCACAUUCUCCA